GAUGAAGAACGCAGCGAAAUGCGAUACUUGGUGUGAAUUGCAGAAUCCCGUGAACCAUCGAGUCUUUGAACGCAAGUUGCGCCCGAAGCCAUCAGGUUGAGGGCACGUCUGCCUGGGCGUCACAUAUCGUUGCCCAAUGCCUAUUGCAGUGCAAUAGGAAUUUCUAGGGCGAAUGAUGGCUUCCCGUGAGCGUUGUUGCCUCGCGGUUGGUUGAAAAUCGAGUCCUUGGUAGGGUGUGCCAUGGUAGAUGGUGGUCGAGUUAGAACGAUACCGAUCAUGUGCAUGCUCCCCAAAAUAUGGCCUCUAUGACCCACAUGCGUCUUUUGACGCUCAUGACGAGACCUCAGGUCAGGCGGGGCUACCCGCUGAAUUUAAGCAUAUCAAUAAGCGGAGGA
rnacentral:misc_RNA from 1 species